rnacentral:rRNA from 1 species
GAUGAACGCUGGCGGCGUGCCUAAUACAUGCAAGUCGAGCGAACAGACGAGGAGCUUGCUCCUCUGACGUUAGCGGCGGACGGGUGAGUAACACGUGGAUAACCUACCUAUAAGACUGGGAUAACUUCGGGAAACCGGAGCUAAUACCGGAUAAUAUAUUGAACCGCAUGGUUCAAUAGUGAAAGACGGUUUUGCUGUCACUUAUAGAUGGAUCCGCGCCGCAUUAGCUAGUUGGUAAGGUAACGGCUUACCAAGGCAACGAUGCGUAGCCGACCUGAGAGGGUGAUCGGCCACACUGGAACUGAGACACGGUCCAGACUCCUACGGGAGGCAGCAGUAGGGAAUCUUCCGCAAAGGGCGAAAGCCUGACGGAGCAACGCCGCGUGAGUGAUGAAGGUCUUCGGAUCGUAAAACUCUGUUAUUAGGGAAGAACAAAUGUGUAAGAAACUAUGCACGUCUUGACGGUACCUAAUCAGAAAGCCACGGCUAACUACGUG